GAUGAACGCUGGCGGCGUGCUUAACACAUGCAAGUCGAACGAUAAAGCCCAGCUUGCUGGGUGGAUUAGUGGCGAACGGGUGAGUAACACGUGAGUAACCUGCCCUUGACUCUGGGAUAAGCCCGGGAAACUGGGUCUAAUACCGGAUAGGAGCGCCUGUCGCAUGACGGGUGUUGGAAAGAUUUUUCGGUCAUGGAUGGACUCGCGGCCUAUCAGCUUGUUGGUGAGGUAAUGGCUCACCAAGGCGACGACGGGUAGCCGGCCUGAGAGGGUGACCGGCCACACUGGGACUGAGACACGGCCCAGACUCCUACGGGAGGCAGCAGUGGGGAAUAUUGCACAAUGGGCGGAAGCCUGAUGCAGCGACGCCGCGUGAGGGAUGACGGCCUUCGGGUUGUAAACCUCUUUUCAGUAGGGAAGAAA
rnacentral:rRNA from 1 species